ensembl:snRNA U4 U4 spliceosomal RNA
AGCUUUGUGCAGUGGCAGUAUCGUAGCCAAUGAGGUUUAUCCGAGGCGUGAUUAUUGCUAAUUGAAAACUUUUCCCAAAGUA